GAUGAACGUUGGCGGCGUGCCUAAUACAUGCAAGUCGAACGAAGACUGUAGUAAUACUGUCUUAGUGGCGAACGGGUGAGUAACGCGUGGGUGACCUGCCCCGAAGUGUGGGAUAACAGUUCGAAAGGAUUGCUAAUACUGCAUAAUAUCCAAGAGAUUAGACGCUUUUGGAUUAAAGGAGUAAUUCGCUUCGGGAGGGGCCCGCGUCCCAUCAGCUAGUUGGUAAGGUAAUGGCUUACCAAGGCGAUGACGGGUAGGGGACCUGAGAGGGUGGCCCCCACAAUGGAACUGAAACACGGUCCAUACACCUACGGGUGGCAGCAGUAGGGAAUAUUAGUAAUGGGCGAAAGCCUGAACUAGCAACGCCGCGUGUGCGAAGAAGGCCUUCGGUUGUAGAGCACUUUUUGAGAGGAUGAGGGAAGGACGGUACUCUCAGAAUAAGUACUCGGCUAACUACGUG
rnacentral:rRNA from 1 species